GACUCACAAGUCUAUCUGUUCAGUAAUCAACACAGACAGAGAAUAUUCACCAUGGACUCGGGACUGAGAUGUGUUUUUAUUGUUGCUCUGUUAAAAGGUGUCCAGAGUGAUGUGAAACUGGAGGAGUCUGGAGGAGGAUUGGUGACACCGGGAGGGUCCAUGAAACUCUCUUGUGCCGGCUCUGGAUUCACUUUCAGUGACUACUCGAUGAAUUGGAUCCGCCAGGCUCCAGAGAAGGGGCUGGAGUGGCUUGCUCAAAUUGAAAACAAAGCUAAUAAUUAUGCAACAUAUUAUGCGAAUUCUGUGAAAGGCAGAUUCACCAUCUCGAGAGAUGAUUCCAAAAAUAGUGUCUACCUGCAAAUGAGCAGCUUAAGAGCUGAAGAAACUGGCAUUUAUUACUGUGCAAGGCACAGUGAGAAGCCUUCAUUGUGA